rnacentral:sRNA from 1 species
AUGGGUUUGCGCGAAAAUUGUUCGAGUCUUUCGCCUCAAACCGCAAUUAUUCAAAAAAAAGUGCAAAUUCUUGCUUUGUAGCGUUGCAAAACCCGCAAUAACAAUUCAAGAUUGUGCCCGUGUGCAGGUGCGCAACCCGACCGGGUGCGGCUCGCGCAUUGUUUAUAAUUUUUAAGGUAAAGCUAUGUCGAAGUCUACUGGAACCGUUAAGUGGUUCAACGAAGAAAAAGGUUUUGGAUUCAUCACGCAAGACAACGGUGGCCCCGAUGUUUUCGUACAUUUUCGCGCCAUUCAGGCGGAAGGUUUUAAAACGCUGAAAGAAGGUCAACCCGUUUCUUUCAACGUUGAAAAAGGCCAAAAAGGCUUGCAGGCUGCAAACGUUGUUCUUGCCUAAGAACUCGUUUCCUGCGACAUCGAAAAAGGGCGCUUAGUGCGCCCUUUUUUGU